UACGGAGGGUGCAAGCGUUAUCCGGAUUCACUGGGUUUAAAGGGUGCGUAGGUGGGAAUGUAAGUUCAGUGGUGAAAUCUCCGUGCUUAACAUGGAAACUGCCAUUGAAUACUAUGUUUCUUGAAUUUUCUGGGGGUUCAGCGGAAUAUGUCAUGUAGCGGUGAAAAUUGCUUAGAUAGUGACAUAGAACACCAAUUGCGAAGGCAGCUGACUACAGGGAUAUUGACACUGAGGCAACGAAAGGCGUGGGGAUCAAACAGG
rnacentral:rRNA from 1 species